ensembl:lncRNA
GGCGUGUCCAUGCCCCGUUGCCCCGCCCCCCCGACCUCUGACCCCUCCCUUAGCCCCGCCCCCUGCUUCCGGAUCUGCCCGGGCCGGAAGGUGCUGUGGCUGAGGGGGCGGGACCAACUGCUGUCACUCAGCUCGGCCCCGCCCCCCGGCCCCGCCCACUGCCUAUGGGUGGUGGUGGGCGGGGACAGGCCGUGUAGCCCCGCCCCUUCGCCUGGCCACGCCCCCUCCUCGGACAACGCCUCUCAUGUUGGCCCCGCCCCUUCCAUUGGCCCCGCCCCCUCGCCUGGCCCCGCCCCCCCGCCCUGCCCCUCGCUGUCCAUCAUGGUGCUGCCCCGCCCCCAAGGUGGCGGCGGCUGUCAGGAUGUUUACACCUUCCUCUUCGAUGGGAUCCCAGCGUCGCUGCUCGGGGGGGGGCUGCGGGGCGACCCCAAAGUGCUGGGGGCGUUUUGUGGGGGGGGGCCAACCCGACCCCAAAUGUUGGUGGNNNNNNNNNNNNNNNNNNNNNNNNNNNNNNNNNNNNNNNNNNNNNNNNNNNNNNNNNUAUGGGUCUCUGUGGGGUCCCAAUGGGGUCUCUGGGGGGUCUCUAUGGGGUCGCUAUGGUCUCUCUCUGUGGGGUCUCUCUGUGUCUCUCUAUGGGGUCCCUAUGGGUUUCUGUGGGGUCUCUCUAUUGGUCUCUGUGGGGUCUCUCUAUGGGGUCUCUUUAUGGGGUAUCUCUGGGUCUUUAUGGGGUCUCUAUGGGUCUCUCUAUGGGGUCUCUAUGGGGUUUCUAUGGGUCUCUAUGGGGUCUCUAUGGGGUCUCUCUAUGGGUCUCUAUGGGGUCUCUAUGGAUCUCUAUGGGGUCUCUAUGGGUCUCUAUGGGGUCUCUAUGGGGUCUCUAUGGGUCUCUAUGGGUCUUUAUGGGUUUCUAUGGGUUUCUGUGGAGUCUCUCUAUGGGGUCUCUAUGGGGUCAUUAUGGGUCUCUACGGGGUGUCUAUGUGGGCUCUCUAUGGGUCUGUAUGGGGUCUCUAUGGGUCUCUUUGGGUCUCUAUGGGGUCUCUCUAUGGGGUCUCUGUUGGGUCUCUAUGGGGUCUCUGUUGGGUCUCUAUGGGGCUCUGUAUGGGGCUCUGUAUGGGGUCUCUAUGGGUCUCUAUUGGUCUCUAUGGGGUCUCUAUGGGGUCUCUAUGGGUCUCUCUAUGGGUCUCUCUAUGGGGUCUCUCUAUGGCUCUCUAUGGGGUCUCUCUAUGAGGUCUCUCUAUGGGGCUCUCUAUGGGGUCUCUCUAUGGGUCUCUAUGGGUCUCUAUUGGUCUCUAUGGGUCUCUAUGGGUCCCUAUGGAUCUCUACGGAUCUCUGUAGGUCCCUAUGUGUCCCAGUGGGUCCCUAUGGUGUCUGCCUAUGGGGUCUCUAUGGGGUCCCUAUGGGUCCCUCUGUGUCCCAGUGGGUCCCUAUGGGGUCUGCCUAUGUGUCCCUAUGUGUCCCUAUGUGUCCCAGUGGGUCCCAGUGGGUCUCUAUGGGGUCUGCCUAUGUGUCCCUAUGUGUCCCAGUGGGUCCCAGUGGGUCUCUAUGGGGUCUCUAUGGGGUCUCUAUGGGGCUCUCUAUGGGGU